AGCGAAGAGGGACCGCGGUCUUGACCCCGCCUCACCACUUUUUUUUUUAAGGGAGGCUGGGCGCAGGCGCAGAAAGCCCAGCCGACCGCCUCGCGUCCGCCCUGACGCGCACGCGCAUGGAGGGGCGCGCGAGUCCCCCGGAGAAUUCCCGCACCCGUCCCGCGGCCGUGCUGUGCCGCGGCCCGGUAGAGCCUCUCAUUUUCCUUGCUAACUUCGCCUUGGUUCUGCAGGGCCCGCUCACCACGCAGUACCUGUGGCACCGUUUCAGUGCCGACCUCGGCUACAAUGGCACCCGUGACAGGGGUGGCUGCGGCAACCGCAGCGCUGACCCCACCAUGCAGGAAGUGGAGACCCUUACCUCCCACUGGACCCUCUACAUGAACCUGGGCGGCUUCCUGGUGGGGCUCUUCUCAUCCACCCUGCUGGGCGCCUGGAGUGACUGUGUGGGCCGCCGCCCAGUGCUCGUACUGACCUCGCUGGGCCUGUUGCUCCAGGUCCUGGUGUCCAUCUUUGUGGUGCAGCUGCAGCUACACGUCGGCUACUUUGUGCUGGGCCGCAUCCUCUGUGCCCUCCUCGGUGACUUCGGUGGCCUCCUGGCUGCUGGCUUUGCUUCUGUGGCAGAUGUCAGCUCUAGCCGAAGCCGCAGCAUCCGAAUGGCCCUGCUGGAAGCAUGCAUUGGGGUGGCAGGGAUGCUGGCAAGCCUCCUUGGCGGCCAGUGGCUCCGGGCCCAGGGUUAUGCCAACCCCUUCUGGCUGGCCUUAGCCUUGCUGAUAGUCAUGGCCCUGUAUGCAGCAUUCUGCUUUGGUGAGACAGUAAAGGAACCAGUAACUGCCCGGCUCUUCACACUCCGUCACCACCGAUCCAUUGUCCAGCUCUACAUGGCUGCAGCCCCAGAGAAGUCCAGAAAGCAUUUAGCCCUGUACUCAUUGGCCAUCUUCAUGGUGAUCACUGUGCACUUUGGGGCCCAGGACAUCCUGACCCUCUAUGAGCUGAGCACACCCCUCUGCUGGGACUCCAAGCUGAUCGGCUAUGGUUCUGCGGCGCAGCACCUCCCGUACCUCACCAGCCUGCUGGUCCUGCGGCUUCUGCAGUAUUGCCUGGCCGACACCUGGGUGGCCGAGAUUGGCUUGGCCUUCAACAUCCUGGGGAUGGUGGUCUUUGCGUUUGCUACUGUCACACCCCUCAUGUUCACAGGGUACGGGCUCCUCUUCCUGUCAUUAGUCACUACACCUGUCAUCCGGGCCAAGCUCUCCAAGCUGGUGGGCAUGUCAGAGCAAGGAUAUUUGUUUCUUCACAGGUGCUCUCUUUUCUGCUGUGGCCUGUGUGAAUAACUUGGCCAUGCUGACAGCCUCUGGCAUUUUCAACUCACUCUACCCAGCCACUCUCAACUUCAUGAAGGGAUUCCCCUUUCUUCUGGGAGCUGGCCUUCUCCUCAUCCCAGCCCUUCUGAUUGGAAUACUGGAAAAGGCUAAUCCUCACCCUGAUCUGGCCACACCAGAGGACAGAGGGCAAAGGGAGUGACGUGAACACUCAUCGACUGGAAGUAUGCAUGUGGGAUUCUAGCCCACGGGAACACCAGCAGCCCCCCACAGAGGGCAGUGAUUCCCUCAGACAAGGUAGUCAAGCUAGACCAAGGCCCCCACCUCUCCUGCUGAUGUGGUGGCCUAUGACUGCAGGAUUUAGACCAGGGCAGGCAGUGGGAAGCCUUUGGAACAGGGGUCUGCUUACCCUUUGUGCCAUCAGCCACAGAACCCUCUGGGGGUGAGGAGAGGUCCUGAUGGAGGUGAUGCUUUGGGACCAGCUGAAGCAUAACAGCUGGCAUCUCCCUUUCCAGCCAGAACUGCAUAGAUCCCAGUCUCUUUAAUGAUGACUGGGAUACCUGGUCAGUGCCAGCUCUGUUGGGGAGGGAGGGUUGUGGGUGGAUGGGGCCCGGAUCCCUCCAGAGGGGUGGGGCUUGCUGCUGCCUCUGGGUGGGAAUCAAUUCCCUGGGCUUAGCAGUGCCAAUUGUAAUAAAUCAAUAUAGUCACA